rnacentral:rRNA from 1 species
UUAGAGUUUGAUCCUGGCUCAGAUUGAACGCUGGCGGCAUGCCUUACACAUGCAAGUCGAACGGCAGCACGGGUGCUUGCACCUGGUGGCGAGUGGCUAACGGGUGAGUAAUACAUCGGAACAUGUCCUGUAGUGGGGGAUAGCCCGGCGAAAGCCGGAUUAAUACCGCAUACGAUCUACGGAUGAAAGCGGGAGACCUUCGGGCCUCGCGCUAUAGGGUUGGCCGAUGGCUGAUUAGCUAGUUUGUGGGGUAAAGGCCUACCAAGGCGACGAUCAGUAGCUGGUCUGAGAGGACGACCAGCCACACUGGGACUGAGACACGGCCCAGACUCCUACGGGAGGCAGCAGUGGGGAAUUUUGGACAAUGGGCGAAAGCCUGAUCCAGCAAUGCCGCGUGUGUGAAGAAGGCCUUCGGGUUGUAAAGCACUUUUGUCCGGAAAGAAAUCCUUGGCUCUAAUACAGUCGGGGGAUGACGGUACCGGAAGAAUAAGCACCGGCUAACUACGUGCCAGCAGCCGCGGUAAUACGUAGGGUGCGAGCGUUAAUCGGAAUUACUGGGCGUAAAGCGUGCGCAGGCGGUUUGCUAAGACCGAUGUGAAAUCCCCGGGCUCAACCUGGGAACUGCAUUGGUGACUGGCAGGCUAGAGUAUGGCAGAGGGGGGUAGAAUUCCACGUGUAGCAGUGAAAUGCGUAGAGAUGUGGAGGAAUACCGAUGGCGAAGGCAGCCCCCUGGGCCAAUACUGACGCUCAUGCACGAAAGCGUGGGGAGCAAACAGGAUUAGAUACACUGGUAGUCCACGCCCUAAACGAUGUCAACUAGUUGUUGGGGAUUCAUUUCC